UACGAAGGGGGCUAGCGUUGCUCGGAAUUACUGGGCGUAAAGCGCACGUAGGCGGCUUGUUAAGUCGGGGGUGAAAUCCUGGAGCUCAACUCCAGAACUGCCUUCGAUACUGGCGAGCUCGAGUUCGGGAGAGGUGAGUGGAACUGCGAGUGUAGAGGUGAAAUUCGUAGAUAUUCGCAAGAACACCAGUGGCGAAGGCGAGUCCCUGGACAACACCUGACACUGAGGCACGAAAGCUAGGGGAGCAAACGGG
rnacentral:rRNA from 1 species